rnacentral:rRNA from 1 species
UACGAAGGGGGCUAGCGUUGUUCGGAAUUACUGGGCGUAAAGCGCACGUAGGCGGAUUUGUAAGUCAGGGGUGAAAUCCCGGGGCUCAACCUCGGAACUGCCUUUGAUACUGCAAGUCUUGAGUCCGAUAGAGGUAAGUGGAAUUCCUAGUGUAGAGGUGAAAUUCGUAGAUAUUAGGAAGAACACCAGUGGCGAAGGCGGCUCACUGGAUCGGUACUGACGCUGAGGUGCGAAAGCGUGGGGAGCAAACAGGGAUUAGAAAACCCC